ensembl:lncRNA
CUCAUUCUCUCUUUCUCUUGUUUUAUCUCUAUCGUUCUCUCUCUCUCACUCUCUCUUUCUCGCGCUCUCUCUCUCUCUCUCUCUCAUGUUCACUUAUUGUCUCCCCCCGUGUCUUGCCUGUCUCCUCCUGGUCUUGAGGUCCGCUGUAAAGGAGUGGGCGGAUGGAGAGAGUGUGUGUGAUGUAUUUGGAGGCGUCUCCCCCCCCCUCCUCCCCUCCAUCUGGUGGCUAGUGUCUCGCUCAGGGUGUCAGGACCGGCUCCGACUAGCUACGCCUUAAUGAAGGCUGGCGCGAUGCCCGGCCCUCCCCAUAUCCCCACUGUCCCCCGCAUCCACGUCUGUCUGUCUGUCUGUCUGUCCGUCCGUCUAUCUAGCUGUCUAUCCAGCCAUCCCUGGCUCUGUCAGGCUAUAUUUAUGUCUUUCUAUCUUUCCAUCUAUCUAGCUGUCUAUCUCGCUGGCUCUGUGUCAGUGUAUAUUUAUGUCUUUCUAUCUUUAAAUGAUUCAAGAUUCAAAUGUCUAUCCAUCUCUAUUUCUGUCUUUGUAGAUGUGUGUCUGUAUUUGUGUCUGUUUUUCUAUAUUUUUUUGUUCAAUGUGUGUGUGUGUCUGUCUUUUUACACAUGUGCCGUAUUUAUCUAGCUGUGUGUCUGUCUCUGUUUGUCUCUGUCACUCUCUCUCUGUCAAUAUGUGAUGUUCUUGGGUUCCUUUAGCGUAUAAUAUUCCCUAUAUGACGUAUGGUGGCUCUCUCAGUCUAUAUUUCGGUCUUACCAUCUAUCUUUAAAUAAUUCAAGAUUCAAAUAACUAUCUAGCUCUAUUUCUGUCUUUCUUUCUGUGUCUGUGUGUCUGUAUAUGUGGGAUAAUUUGACUACAGCCUUAGAAGGAUUAUCAUUCUUCCUUACAUGCUAUAUGAAUGAGACAGGCGUGGAAAUACUUUCUUUGAUGAGUCUCCUGAAAUCAGAGAGAUCAGCAGAUGUUCUGUGCCACCAGUAUGCAAUAAUAUUCCUUACAAUAUAAUUAUUCUGAUGAGGUCGAGACAACCUAAUGGUUAGAAAGCCAGGGGGAACUUGGUGUUCCUCGAUGGAUAAGAGAGGCCAGUGGUUGUUAGUGGUGGGGAACUGGGUGGAGGGUUUGCCACCAAUACGUUGUUGAGAAUCAAGUUGCGCUUGAAGACGAAAGCAGAAGUUUGUGGAUGCUGAGGCCAUGUUUGGGGGUUGUUUGAUAACAACCUUGGCUUGGAGCUUAUGGGAGGAAUCACAGAGUGAGACAAUAUAAAGCGUG